GGAUCGAAUCCUACACCUGUCUUCUCUUUACCUCUUUCCCCGUUUAAUUAAAGCUUGCUUCCCUGGCGAAACAUCGAACCCAAUGGAAAGCUUGCCUCCCUGAUUACCUCUCAACGGCCCCAAAUAAACAGAAGCUUAAUUAGUUCUUCUUGUUCUGCCAGAAGGCUUGAGGCUCCCAGCUGAGAAGAGCAAGAAGAGCGGGGUGCCGGCGCGUGAGAUUUCUGGCUACGAUCUGGGCAUAUGUCGAGCUGCUUCCAGUCCCAGGUUGGGUUUCUUGGAGGGAUCCUCUGGGCUUGAGUCCUGAACAGGACAGCUUAGAUGGAGUUGAAGAGAUCAACUACUACGCCAUGUUCAUGGGUUACGUGUCCAAGGCCAUCAGGGGGCUACGCUUCCUAGUGCUUACAUGGACCACUGUCGUCCUCCUUGGUGGCUUUGUCUCCCUGCUACAGAAGGACUUUUGGGCUCUCACAGUAAUCACGCUUGUGCAAACUGCUGGGUAAGUCUUCUUGUUGCUUGUUUACCAAUGAGAAGCGUUUUUACUACCCUAUUUCGCCCCGGUUACCUUGGUUAAAGGUUGUGGUUAAAUAAAAUCCAGUAGUUGCCAUCACUUUCA